GGAGGAGUCGGAUAACGGCUAUUCCACCGGUCUUGAAAACCGGCGCUCGAAAGGGCUUGUGGGUUCGAAUCCCACCUCCUCCGCCA
rnacentral:tRNA from 1 species